rnacentral:rRNA from 1 species
GAAGGGAGCUUGCUCCCGGAUGUUAGCGGCGGACGGGUGAGUAACACGUGGGUAACCUGCCUGUAAGACUGGGAUAACUCCGGGAAACCGGAGCUAAUACCGGAUAGUUCCUUGAACCGCAUGGUUCAAGGAUGAAAGACGGUUUCGGCUGUCACUUACAGAUGGACCCGCGGCGCAUUAGCUAGUUGGUGAGGUAACGGCUCACCAAGGCGACGAUGCGUAGCCGACCUGAGAGGGUGAUCGGCCACACUGGGACUGAGACACGGCCCAGACUCCUACGGGAGGCAGCAGUAGGGAAUCUUCCGCAAUGGACGAAAGUCUGACGGAGCAACGCCGCGUGAGUGAUGAAGGUUUUCGGAUCGUAAAGCUCUGUUGUUAGGGAAGAACAAGUGCAAGAGUAACUGCUUGCACCUUGACGGUACCUAACCAGAAAGCCACGGCUAACUACGUGCCAGCAGCCGCGGUAAUACGUAGGUGGCAAGCGUUGUCCGGAAUUAUUGGGCGUAAAGGGCUCGCAGGCGGUUUCUUAAGUCUGAUGUGAAAGCCCCCGGCUCAACCGGGGAGGGUCAUUGGAAACUGGGAAACUUGAGUGCAGAAGAGGAGAGUGGAAUUCCACGUGUAGCGGUGAAAUGCGUAGAGAUGUGGAGGAACACCAGUGGCGAAGGCGACUCUCUGGUCUGUAACUGACGCUGAGGAGCGAAAGCGUGGGGAGCGAACAGGAUUAGAUACCCUGGUAGUCCACGCCGUAAACGAUGAGUGCUAAGUGUUAGGGGGUUUCCGCCCCUUAGUGCUGCAGCUAACGCAUUAAGCACUCCGCCUGGGGGAGUACGGUCGCAAGACUGAAACUCAAAGGAAUUGACGGGGGCCCGCACAAGCGGUGGAGCAUGUGGUUUAAUUCGAAGCAACGCGAAGAACCUUACCAGGUCUUGACAUCCUCUGACAACCCUAGAGAUAGGGCUUUCCCUUCGGGGACAGAGUGACAGGUGGUGCAUGGUUGUCGUCAGCUCGUGUCGUGAGAUGUUGGGUUAAGUCCCGCAACGAGCGCAACCCUUGAUCUUAGUUGCCAGCAUUCAGUUGGGCACUCUAAGGUGACUGCCGGUGACAAACCGGAGGAAGGUGGGGAUGACGUCAAAUCAUCAUGCCCCUUAUGACCUGGGCUACACACGUGCUACAAUGGACAGAACAAAGGGCUGCGAGACCGCAAGGUUUAGCCAAUCCCACAAAUCUGUUCUCAGUUCGGAUCGCAGUCUGCAACUCGACUGCGUGAAGCUGGAAUCGCUAGUAAUCGCGGAUCAGCAUGCCGCCGUGAAUACGUUCCGGGCCUUGUACACACCG